UGGGGAAUAUUGCACAAUGGGCGCAAGCCUGAUGCAGCGACGCCGCGUGAGGGAUGAAGGCCUUCGGGUUGUAAACCUCUUUCGUCAGGGAACAAGGCACUGCUUUUUUGGUGGUGUUGAGGGUACCUGGAUAAGAAGCGCCGGCUAACUACGUGCCAGCAGCCGCGGUAAUACGUAGGGCGCAAGCGUUGUCCGGAAUUAUUGGGCGUAAAGAGCUCGUAGGCGGCUGGUCGCGUCUGUCGUGAAAACUUCCGGCUCAACCGGGGGCUUGCGGUGGGUACGGGCCGGCUAGAGUGCGGUAGGGGUAACUGGAACUCCUGGUGUAGCGGUGGAAUGCGCAGAUAUCAGGAAGAACACCGAUGGCGAAGGCAGGUUACUGGGCCGUUACUGACGCUGAGGAGCGAAAGCGUGGGGAGCGAACAGGAUUAGAUACCCUGGUAGUCCACGCCGUAAACGUUGGGCACUAGGUGUGAGGCUCCUUUCCGGGGGUUUUGCGCCGUAGCUAACGCAUUAAGUGCCCCGCCUGGGGAGUACGGCCGCAAGGCUA
rnacentral:rRNA from 1 species